GCAUUCCUAGCUCAGUCGGUAGAGCGUUCGGCUUUUAACCGAAUGGUCGUGGGUUCGAUCCCCACGGAGUGCGC
rnacentral:tRNA from 1 species